rnacentral:misc_RNA from 1 species
UCUCCGUAGGUGAACCUGCGGAGGGAUCAUUACAGAGUCCUCGCCCUCGCGGGUAGAUCUCCCACCCACUGUUAUCGUUACUGUGUUGCUUUGGCGGGCCGCCGGGCCCCGCUCGGCCGCCGGCUCCGGCUGGCGCGCGCCCGCCAGAGGCCCAGCAAACUCUGAAUGUUAGUGUCGUCUGAGUACUAUAUAAUAGUUAAAACUUCCAACAACGGAUCUCUUGGUUCUG